rnacentral:lncRNA from 1 species
GCACUCCGCGCCCGGCAGGGCGAGUUUGCAGGCUUGCGGUAAGGAGCCUGCAGGAUGCACCUCGGUAGGUAGCGGGGAGUGGUGCCUUAGGCUCCCGGUGUGUUUCGGUCUUCAUAGUCUUGCUUCAAACAGGCAUGAGUGGGUGGAGGGGUGAGGGAUGUCUAUGGGAUACGUUAGGCGUGAUACGAUGGACGGAUAGUGUUGAAAGCGUUUCUCUCACCCCAGGGAAGUGACCAGUCUCGCUUACAUUCCCCAGCUUUUAUCUGUACUUUAGUGGCCCAACUGGACAGUUAAAUAAACAAACAUAAAAGGUAUUGUACAGAAUGUUAAAA